UACAGAGGGGCAAGCGUUGUUCGGAAUUACUGGGCGUAAAGGGUGCGUAGGUGGCUUGCCACGUCGGUGCUGAAAGCGCCCGGCUUAACCGGGCGAGGCGUGCCGAUACGAGCGAGCUCGAGCCUCGGAGAGGGCGGUGGAACUCCUGGUGUAGUGGUGAAAUGCGUAGAGAUCAGGAAGAACACCCGUGGCGCAAGCGACCGCCUGGCCGAGUGCUGACACUGAGGCACGAAAGCGUGGGGAGCGAACCGG
rnacentral:rRNA from 1 species